rnacentral:lncRNA from 1 species
AACAAUGCAAACAUAUGAGGAAUAAAGAAUUGUUGACUAAUGAUAUCUCAUGGAUGGGUCGAGAAUCGACCUGCUUUGAUACCAAAUAUAACACCCCAAAUAAUAUGUAUCUAGAAUCCUAUUAUUCAAAUUGUUAUAACAUGGUACUAAGUAUAAUAAAAAACAUCUAAAUGACAUCACAAAUGAGCACGACGCUAAGUCCAUAACAGAAUACAUACAUAAGUAAAUGUGUAAUACAAAAUAUC